rnacentral:rRNA from 1 species
AUUGAACGCUGGCGGCAGGCCUAACACAUGCAAGUCGAGCGGAUGACGGGAGCUUGCUCCUUGAUUCAGCGGCGGACGGGUGAGUAAUGCCUAGGAAUCUGCCUGGUAGUGGGGGACAACGUUUCGAAAGGAACGCUAAUACCGCAUACGUCCUACGGGAGAAAGCAGGGGACCUUCGGGCCUUGCGCUAUCAGAUGAGCCUAGGUCGGAUUAGCUAGUUGGUGGGGUAAUGGCUCACCAAGGCGACGAUCCGUAACUGGUCUGAGAGGAUGGUCAGUCACACUGGAACUAAGACACGGUCCAGACUCCUACGGGAGGCAGCAGUGGGGAAUAUUGGACAAUGGGCGAAAGCCUGAUCCAGCCAUGCCGCGUGUGUGAAGAAGGUCUUCGGAUUGUAAAGCACUUUAAGUUGGGAGGAAGGGCAGUAAGCUAAUACCUUGCUGUUUUGACGUUACCGACAGAAUAAGCACCGGCUAACUCUGUGCCAGCCGCCGCCGUAA